rnacentral:rRNA from 1 species
AACCUGGUUGAUCCUGCCAGUAGUCUUACGCUCGUCUCAAAGAUUAAGCCAUGCAUGUGUAAGUUCAAUGAUUUGACCAAAAAACUGCGAAUGGCUCAUUAUAUCAGUUAUAGUUUAUUUGAUAGUCCCUUACUACUUGGAUACCCGUAGUAAUUCUAGAGCUAAUACAUGCGUAAACACUCGACCUUUGGAAGAGUGGUAUUUAUUAGAUUGAAACCAACCCGUUUCGGCGGUGUCCUGGUGAUUCAUAAUAACUUUUCGGAUUGCAUUGCAACAUUUCAUUCAAGUUUCUGCCCUAUCAGCUUUGACGGUAGUGUAUUGGACUACCGUGGCUUUAACGGGUAACGGAGGAUUAGGGUUUGAUUCCGGAGAGGGAGCCUGAGAAGACGGCUACCACAUCCAAGGAAGGCAGCCAGCGGCGUAAAUUACCCAAUCCUGACACCGGGGAGGUAGUGACCAUAAAUAACCAUGCCGUGCCCCUUUGGGUAUUGCUUUUGGAAAUUAAAAAAACCC